rnacentral:rRNA from 1 species
UACGUAGGGUGCAAGCGUUGUCCGGAAUUAUUGGGCGUAAAGAGCUCGUAGGCGGUCUGUCGCGUCUGCUGUGAAAACUCAGGGCUUAACCCUGAGCUUGCAGUGGGUACGGGCAGACUAGAGUGCGGUAGGGGAGACUGGAAUUCCUGGUGUAGCGGUGAAAUGCGCAGAUAUCAGGAGGAACACCGAUGGCGAAGGCAGGUCUCUGGGCAUUAACUGACGCUGAGGAGCGAAAGCAUGAGGAGCGAACAGG